rnacentral:rRNA from 1 species
UACGAAGGGGGGCUAGCGUUGCUCGGAAUCACUGGGCAUAAAGGGUGCGUAGGCGGGUCUUUUAAGUCAGGGGGUGAAAUCCUGGAGCUCAACUCCAGAACUGCCUUUGAUACUGAGGAUCUUGAGUCCGGGAGAGGUGAGUGGAACUGCGAGUGUAGAGGUGAAAUUCGUAGAUAUUCGCAAGAACACCAGUGGCGAAGGCGGCUCACUGGCCCGGUACUGACGCUGAGAUACGAAAGCGUGGGGAGCAAACAGG